rnacentral:rRNA from 1 species
UACAGAGGUCGUCAAGCGUUGUUCGGAUUCAUUGGGCGUAAAGGGUGCGUAGGCGGCGCGGUAAGUCGGGAUGUGAAAUCUCGGAGCUUAACUCCGAAACUGCAUUCGAUACUGCCGUGCUUGAGGACUGGAGAGGAGACUGGAAUUUACGGUGUAGCGGUGAAAUGCGUAGAUAUCGUAAGGAAGACCAGUGGCGAAGGCGGGUCUCUGGACAGUUCCUGACGCUGAGGCACGAAGGUCAGGGGAGGCAAAACGGG